GAGAACGGGACUCCGUUAUCGGGAAACUGAGGGAGGAGCUCGAGGCGCUGAAGGAGGAGGACGUUGGUGAAAUCCGCGAGGAAAUGGAGGAAGAGGAGGAGGAAGAGGAAGAAGAGGAAGAAGAGGAGGAAGAGGAAGAGGAAGAAGAGGAG